rnacentral:tRNA from 1 species
AAAUAAGAAGUAAAAUUUUACAUUUAGUUUCGACCUAAAAAUUUGAUAUACAUAUAUCCUUAUUUA